UUUGCAAAACUUUAUUAGCAAUGAACAAAGUUACAGAGACAAUAAAUUAAUUAGUAAUAUGUGCCCUGGACUUGAAAUAUUUAAACUGCAGUAACAGACUGAAGCUUCUCCUUCAUGGAAGGAAAAGUUCAAAGCUUCACAGGUCAGAGAGGAAACAUCUGACUCUGCAGCUACAUGGAAAUAAUUACCAUCACUUUGGUUUCAUAACACUGUCCAUCAUAACAUUUAUUCAGCUGUAGCUGACCAGUGAGUCCUGAACACUAUCGGGCAGAUCACUGAUCGUCUGUAAUCUACAGUAAUUCGUCUUUUCUUCAUCACACACACACUGUAAAAUGUAAUAUUGUGUUUAAUUAAAAAUAUUAAAUAGGCUGAACUCAAUUUUUAUCAAUUUGUUAUUAGAACUCAAUUUAAAUAAGUUACCAGUACUUUUUAUGCAAAAAUGCUGAUAAACUCGAUUAAUUUGAGUUGUCCUAACUUAGAAAAACUAAGUAAGCUGGAAGUUUUGCUUCUCAGGGCGGAAGGAUGAAAGAUGUGUUUUGAAAAUGCCACGUGACUACUGUCCUCCCUCCCUCCUGGAUCAGUCCGCAUGUUCAUGGCGCCAGCAUUUGUUAUGGAAUAUAUUGAGCAAACCUGGAGAUAUUAUUGUUGUCAUUGCUGUGGAUCUUUACUGACUUGGCUCGGGAUCGGCACUCCUGUUGUUGGACAGAAAGACACCAACUCAGUGACUUGAGAUAU